UAGGGAAUAUUGCAAAUGGGCGAAAGCCUGAUGUAGCAACGCCGCGUGUGCGAUGAAGGUCUUCGGAUUGUAAAGCACUUUUUGGAGGGAUGAGGAAGGACAGUACCUCCAGAAUAAGCCUCGGCUAACUACGUGCCAGCAGCCGCGGUAACACGUAGGAGGCAAGCGUUAUUCGGAUUUACUGGGCGUAAAGCGCGUGCAGGCGGUUUGGAAAGUUGGAUGUGAAAGCUCCUGGCUCAACUGGGAGAGGUCGUUCAAAACUUCCAG
rnacentral:rRNA from 1 species